rnacentral:rRNA from 1 species
AUUGAACGCUGGCGGCAUGCCUUACACAUGCAAGUCAACGGUAACAGGUCUUCGGAUGCUGACGAGUGGCGAACGGGUGAGUAAUGCAUCGGAACGUGCCCAGUAGUGGGGGAUAGCCCGGCGAAAGCCGGAUUAAUACCGCAUACGACCUGAGGGUGAAAGGGGGGGAUCGCAAGACCUCUCGCUAUUGGAGCGGCCGAUGUCAGAUUAGCUAGUUGGUGGGGUAAAGGCCUACCAAGGCAACGAUCUGUAGUUGGUCUGAGAGGACGACCAGCCACACUGGGACUGAGACACGGCCCAGACUCCUACGGGAGGCAGCAGUGGGGAAUUUUGGACAAUGGGCGCAAGCCUGAUUCAGCAAUGCCGCGUGCAGGAAGAAGGCCUUCGGGUUGUAAACUGCUUUUGUCAGGGAAGAAAUCUUCUGGGUUAAUACCUCGGGAGGAUGACGGUACCUGAAGAAUAAGCACCGGCUAACUACGUGCCAGCAGCCGCCGUAA